rnacentral:rRNA from 1 species
AUUGAACGCUGGCGGCAUGCCUUACACAUGCAAGUCGAACGGUAACAGGUCUUCGGAUGCUGACGAGUGGCGAACGGGUGAGUAAUACAUCGGAACGUGCCCGAUCGUGGGGGAUAACGAAGCGAAAGCUUUGCUAAUACCGCACAAGAUCUACGGAUGAAAGCAGGGGACCGCAAGGCCUGGCGCGAACGGAGCGGCCGAUGGCAGAUUAGGUAGUUGGUGGGAUAAAAGCUUACCAAGCCGACGAUCUGUAGCUGGUCUGAGAGGACGACCAGCCACACUGGGACUGAGACACGGCCCAGACUCCUACGGGAGGCAGCAGUGGGGAAUUUUGGACAAUGGGCGAAAGCCUGAUCCAGCCAUGCCGCGUGCAGGAUGAAGGCCUUCGGGUUGUAAACUGCUUUUGUACGGAACGAAAAGACUCUUUCUAAUAAAGAGGGUCCAUGACGGUACCGUAAGAAUAAGCACCGGCUAACUACGUGCCAGCCGCCGCCGUAACAC